rnacentral:rRNA from 1 species
GACGAACGCUGGCGGCAGGCUUAACACAUGCAAGUCGAACGGAAACGCCUGCUUUACUUUGUGGAGUGCGGGUACUCGCGUGGCCAACGCGUGAGUAAAACGUAAGUUAUCUGCCCCCAACUUCGGUAUAAGCCUGGGAAACUGGGUCUAAUUAUUGAUGGGACUGCAGGGUGGUGCCUGUGGUGGAUAACGAUUUUGUAGUGGCUGGCGACGAGAUCGCGGCCUAUCAGCUUGUUGGUGGGGUAAUGGCCUACCAAGGCGGCGACGGGUGGGCGGGGUGAGAGGGUGGACGGGCACAGUGGGAAUGAGAGGCGGCACAGGCACCGACGGACGGCAGCAGCGGGGAAGAUUGGACGAUGUGGGGAAGCUUGAGGCAGCGACGAAGCGCGGACGAUGCCGGGCUUCGGGUAGUAAACUCCUGUUGGGAGCGAGGAAGCCUCCUGGCUGGAAGGGUAGUGACGGUAGUGGGAGAAGAAGCACCGGCUAACUACGUG